rnacentral:tRNA from 1 species
GCGGCAGNCAGUUGGUAGAGCGCACCCUUGGUAAGGGUGAGGUCCCCAGUUCGACUCUGGGUAUCAGCACCA